rnacentral:rRNA from 1 species
CCUACGGGUGGCAGCAGUGAGGAAUAUUGGUCAAUGGGCGGGAGCCUGAACCAGCCAAGUCGCGUGAAGGAAGAAGGUACUUAGUAUUUUAAACUUCUUUUGUCGGGGAACAAAGGCGGAGACGCGUCUCCGGAUGAGUGUACCCGAAGAUAAAGCAUCGGCUAACUCCGUGCCAGCAGCCGCGGUAAUACGGAGGAUGCGCGCGUUAUCCGGAUUUAUUGGGGUUUAAGGGGGCGCAGGCGGGAGAUAAAGUCAGCGGGAAAAUGUCGGGGCGCAACCCCGGCCGGCCGUUGAAACUGGGUUGCUAGAGUGGGAGAGAGGGAUGCGGAAUUCGUGGUGUAGCGGUGAAAUGCAUAGAUAUUACGAAGAACUCCGAGUGCGAAGGCAGCAUGCCGGCUCCAGACUGACGCUGAGGCACGAAAGCGUGGGGAGCGAACAGGAUUAGAUACCCGGGUAGUC